CGAAUAUCGAGAGAAACCGAGCGGUGUUCUUCGUGUUCUUCAUAAUCAAACGAAGAUUUGAAGGUGUUAUUGGAAUCCGAUGGAGGCGUAUAAAUAGUCAAAACGAAGCUAUCGACGCGUAGAAUCAAGUUUAAUCAUCCGUUUAUAUGCAGAUUCAACAGGUGAUUUUAGAUUAUUUUUCUAAAAUUCGAGUUUAUAUGAUUUAAAUGAUGAAUUUUUGCAAACGAUUCCGUUUAUGUGAUUUGAUGAUUCUAUGAUGUAGAGCAUGUUUUUCUCGUCGUUUUGGUAUAUUAUAUGUCAAAAACGGAGUUCAAUAACAUGUAGAAAAGUCAGUUUGAUUAUUGAAAUUGUGUUCUUGGUGUUCUUGAGCUUGUUGCCGGAAAAGUUUGAAUUUUGGCCGGAAAAUGGGUUCCGCUAAAUCUGGGCAGUAGUGGUAUAUAUGAAUAGAAAGAGGAGAGAAAGGGGAGUAUGCUGGUGUGCUUGGUUUGAGCGGAGGUGGCUCGAAUCGCCGCCAUCGGCGGCGGGAAGUCGCCGACUUCGGCCGGAUUUUCCGGCGAAUUCGCGCGACUUCUGCCUAAUUAAAGAUGGGGGAUUGAUUUAUGGGUGUGUGUACUACUGAUCUGGAGUAGAUGGUGAGUGGAGGACGCCUGGAAACGAAUUUCCGGCGAGUUAGUGUGGUGGCCGGCGGCUUAUUGCUGUUUGGUCACCGAAGUUUUGAAGAUGAUGAAGUUUUUGUACUCAGGUUUUGAAACUUAUGAAUUACCCCCUGUAACUUUGAAAAGUUACACUUUAAACCCUGGACAAAACUUUCAAAAGUUUACAAAAUAAACCUUUUGAUUUAAUUUUCUAAAAUUGUUUUAUUUAAUUAUUUUAAAUUCCAAAAAUAGUUUUUAAUUAUUUCUUUAUUCAAAAAUAAAUCUAAAUUAGUUUAUUAAUUAAUUUUAAUUAGUAAUUAAUUAUUUUAAUUGGUCAAUUAAUUUAAAUAUUAAUUGAUUAAUUAUUUUAAUUAAUUAUUAAUUGAUUUUAAUUGAUUAAUUAAUUGGAUUUAAUUAAUCCUUUUUGAUUUAAAAAUUCCGAAAAAUAGUUUCGAGCUUUAAAAUAUUUUUCCAAAUUAUUUUCAAGGCUCGAUAAUUGUUUAUGAAUGAUUUCAAGUCCAAUUUCAAGUAUUUGGGACUUGAUUAUUUAUUCGAAAAGUGAUUCUUUUAUCGAUUUUAAUUCCGAAAAAUGUUUAAAAAUUCUGGAAAAUUCCCGAAAAAUCAUUUUUAACCCAAGACUUGAUUUAAUAUCAAUUGGGAUGGGAAACCUUAUGUGUUGUGUGUUGUCUGCUAUUGGUUGGAUGUGUUAUGUGCCGAUAGGAGAGUGAGAAAACUGUUUUGAGCAUAACUUUUGAUCCGUAAGUCGGAAUCAAGUGAAACGAAAGAGAGACAGAAGCUUAUAACGUCUAUUUUAAUAUGAUGUGACUAUAUGGCUGAGUCUAUAAGGUGAAUAAUUGUUGAUAAGUAUGCAUAAUGUGAUAAUAUGUGAUCUAAGUGCUAUCAGGUGAUGAUUAUGUGAAGUACGUGUUAGUUUUGAUAUUGUGAAGUGAUAAAUGAUUCGUAUGAUUGAUAUUGGAUAAGAAUAUAUGGAUUAUAGCUAUUGGAUUUUGUUGGUUGAUUAAUGAUUGAGAUAGGAUAAUAGGUGGAUAGUCUUAUACAUAGACGAGACGAUGUCGGAUUUUCGAUAAGGAUUUAUAUGAUAAUUGAUUGGUGAUAUGUUAUGUGGAAUAUGAUUGACUAUAUGUUAGAGUUAAAGCAUGCUUAUGUGUUACGUGGUAUCUGAUAAGUUUAAAGGGAUAUAUAAGUGGGUAUUGAUAUACGUGAGAUGUAUAUGCGAUCGAUUGUUUAGUGAUUAUAGUGUUAUCUUAUUCUCGUAAAGGAUUUGGACGAGACGUGUAUGCCCGAAGACGUUCAGAAAGUCACGUGGUGUUACAAAGCGAAUAAGGGAUGAAUCGAGUAAGCGAAGCGAAGAUGUACGGUAGAUAGAGUAUAGCCAGAGAUGGUCUAGAGACUAUGAGAUGCAUAGAUUGUGAAAGUGGAAAGAUGAGAUUGAGAUGUGAGACUGGAGUCAGAUUUAAGGCAAGUAUCCUAAACCUUUCUCUUGGAUAUAUUGCAAAUAUUCUGAUCCAUUCCUUUGGUAUAUGUUUCAAGUAUUCAUACCUUUCUUUUCAAUGUUCGAAAGUGCGAGUAUUCUGACCCAUUCUUUCUAAUCUUCAAGUUUCUAAAGAAUUUCCGUUUUACAAAUUAAUUCGAAGUUCAGAUUGUCAUUGAAGCAUGUGUUGCUCAGUGAUAGUUAGAGCUUUGAAUGAAUUGGGAUCUUCUUGAUUAUUCAACCCGCCAUUGUCAUGCUGGUUUAGCAGGCUAAAUUCAGUUGCUUAGCCGAUAAUGGAGGAUACUGAAUAGUUGAGGAUUUCCUGAACUGUGAUUUAUGAAAUGAUGGAUCAUGAUUUAUGAAUAGAUUAUUAUCAAAGUUUGAAUUGGAAUUAUUCUGUUGUUGAUGAUAUUUAUGAUGAUGUUCUGUUAAUUUACAUUGGCUUCUUGAAUUGAAUUAGAGAAUUGGAUUAUUGUUUUUAUAUAAACCUGUGGACCAGAUUCGUGGUCAUGUUAGGCCAAUGAGUGCCUUGGAUCCAGUGAUAGAGCAUGGCGGGGCCUGCUCGGGGUUAGUGCGGAACUGAUCAGCUGCCUAACCUUGGUUUUAAUUAAAAUGUGAUAGUCCAAUUCAAUAAUUCUUUGGAAAGAUUGAAUUUCUCAGUUUAAAUGCUGCAAGGUAUUGUAAAUCAUUCUAUACAAUACCAUGAACUCAUGAACUCAGGUUGAAUCCUCUUAUAUCUUGAACUCGUGAUCUUCUGUUAUAUCAUUUCAGAACUAUCAUUGUUUAUUAUUACUUGCUGAGCAUUGUUGCUCACCCUUGCUAUUCCUUUCUAACCAUUUCAGAAAGGCUUAAAGAUGAGAUGAUUGAUUGAGAUUGUGAAUAAGGCUAAUGCUAGGCGAGGAGACAGAGUUGAGAAUCCAGUGGUCGAGGAGUGUUCAGGAAAGUUGAUGAGGUUGGUGCAAGCUAGAGUUGAGCUAUGGAAAUUCAGAUGUAAGUCAUAGCUGGAAUAGAUUGACAGUGAUUCUUCUUAUCGAAGAUGAUCUGAUUUGGUAAGAGAUGUUGUGUAAUAAUAGUGGUUGAUUCUAAUUUCAAUACUGUAACCUGGAAGCGAUCCUGUUGGUUUGGGGGUGAAGAUGUUCUCUUUUAAAUCUUUUAUUUAACGUCUUUCAAAUCUUUUAUUAAAUGUUUUCAAGUUUUAAAUUAUUUGGAUUCAUUAUCUUUUAAAAAAAAAAUAAAAAAAUACAGGAUUUCAAAAGUGUUUAAAAAUGGGUUUUUAUGUGGUGACGUCAGAAUCCAGACCCCCGGAUUCUCGGACCGUCACAGUUGGUAUCAGAGCAACAGGUUACAAGUUAUUGAAAUUUGAAUAUAGAUUAUAGUCUUAAGUUUUCUAGAGAAGAAUGUGGGUGACCUCGUAUAGAGGUAUUGUGAGACUAUUUAGAAAUAGUCUAGAGAUGUGAUAGAGGUAUAGAAUCUGGUUAGACGAUCAAGUUGAGUGUAUAGGUUUAGAGAGAUUUUGAUUCUUAAGUCUAGACACUUGGAUUUCUAGUAUGUUGACUAAUUGAGAUGAUGAAUUGCGUGAAAGGUCAAGAUUAGACCUAGAUAGAAGAGUUUGAUAGUGAAUGAUUGAGUUGAGAAUGGUGAAAAUGCAGAGUUCAGAGUAUUCUGACUAUACUGCAUAGUUGAAAAUGGUCUAUUGUAUUGAUUUGGAUGCAUGGUUCAUAGUAUGUUGACCAUGUCAGAUAUUUGGAAGAGAUAUAUGGUGUUAGUGAGAUAUGAAGAGUUACUGUAAGAUAUGAGUUGUCUUGGAUUAGAAGAAGAGAUUUGUAGAUAGAGGUUGAUAGAUGAGAAGUGCAUGAUAGAGAGUAAGUGAAGUUGAGUCAGGUUAUUAGAAGUGAUAUUUGCGAGUAAGUUAGAACGUUAAUUCUCGACGAUGAUGUUUUAAGUUAAGCGAGACAAGGUGGGCCCAUAACCCACAGGGCGACAAGUCAGAAAAUAGAAGAUACGCUACGUGUUGUGCUAUGGACUUCAAAGGCAACUGGAUGAAACAUGAGAACGUGAACUACUUGGGCCAGACUUAUUAUGAACUAUAACGUCUACGAUGACAUCUUACGAGGCUAUUACGAGUCAACAUCGAUCGAUUAUCGAGAACGUUGAAAAGAAGACAUAUAUCGAACAAUGAUUUAUUGAAGCAGAGCGAAAAUCUGAGAAGACCUUGGCAAUACCUCUCUUCAACUAAGAUUCUUUUGUAUUGUUUUUCUCAUCAGUGAGAUAUUAUCAUGAUAUCUUUUCUACAAAAGUUUUGAUAAAUGAGAUCUUUAAUUUCUCAAAUUCUAAGAUGACAUUGAUAUUGAUUAUUGGUAUGAGUUGGAAAGCAAAGAUGUGUGACAAAGGCGUGUUUAUUAAGAGACAGUGGAAUCCCUUGAUAUUCUUUCAUAUUCUUUGAUAUCCCUUAAUAUUUGUUGAUAUUCUUUGACACUCUUUGAUAUUCCUUGAUAUCUUUUCAAUAUUUCUUAAUAUAUUCCUCGAUAAUCCUUAACAUUCUUUGAUGCUCCUUGAGAUUUCUUGGAUUCUUUCCAUCUGACUGGGAUGAACAACCCUAUGUAUAGGGGACACAAGGUAUACCUGUCUGUGUGAUAGGAGUUGGAUGGGACGCCAUCACUUGUGUGUGUUGUGAUUACAAGAAGGUUAACAACCUUUAGUAGUGUCUAAUAUGGACACGCAACAUUAAGUUCAAUUGAUCUUAUUGAUCUCCCAGUCACUUUUAUAUUCCAAUGUGACCUAUCUUGAAAACAUCUUGUUCCUCCAAAUUUUCCCAAAGAUUGAUUCUUGGGAAAUGAAUUUUGUAAUUGUGAAAGUUUGAUUUUCCUAUUUCUUUGAAGUCAAAGGUAUGCCAAGAUUGAUCAAAAGGCGGAUGACGAUAUGAUAUUACGAAGUGUGUACGUUUUAGUUUUCUUCGGGGGAUUCCGAGGACGGAAUCCUUAUAAGGGGGGUAGAAUGUAAUAUCCCAUAUUAUUAAAUUUAGAUGUGAUUAUUAUAAAUCUAUUUGUCUAAAUAUUAUUGUUGGCUUUAGUUGAAAAGCGAAUUGAUUAUGUGAAUAGUUUUAUAUGAUUAUACUUGUUCUGUGGAUUAAUAUGGAUUUUACAGAUUAUGCGUCCUCCUUCUUUCUCUGAUUCCGAGGACGGAAUCCCUAUAAGGAGGGUAGAUUGUAAUGACCCGGAUUUUUAAAAAUAUUUUUAUUAGUAUUAAAAGUGAUUUUCUUCAAAGAAGGGAAUAAGAUUUAAUAUUUUAUUCCAGUUUAAUGAGUUUUCAAAGUUUUAUAUUUAAACCCCGGGUUAUUGUGUUAUUGAUAAAUAAUUGUAUUUUCAAAACUGAUUUUCAUAUAUUGUUUUGAAAAUUCUGUAUGAAUAUUAUGUGAAUAUAUGUGUUAUGUGAUUAAGUGGUGUUGGUGGAAUUGAUUGUUAAUUAAUUGUGGUUAAUAACGGAUAUUAUAUGAUUAAUACAUGAAUUUUUGUGAAUAUUGUACUAUCUGGUUUAUUUAAUUGACCGCUCAUAUGUGCUCGGAUUUGAGAUAUUUCAAUUUCUAUAUGAUCAGGAUAAAAUGUAGUUUAUUUGGAUAUUUUGUAUCGAUUUAUGGAAUGUUAGAUGAUUUUAUAAUCGAUUUACAGAUUUAAUUGCGUAUAUUUGUAUUUAUUUAUUAAUUAUUUGAUCUUUUUGGAAACCGUCCACUCGUGACGGAGCAACGAUUUUAUUUCCGAAAGUUUCGAGAAAACUCACCUUUAGCCUAAUUUGAAUAUUCCGGACAUUUUUCGUGUUUUGACUUUUUCGAUCCGGAGUACGGUUUUCCCCGGAGUCGGUCCGGCGGAGUUUUUCGGGUAUUUUAAUUGUUGAUAAUUAUCCAGUUUGUCUCGAUAAACGUGAAACGAGAUAUUUUGAUUAUUAUAUUCAUCCUUAUCUUGUAAUAAUUGCAAUGGGACCCGCAGACCAAUAAUUGAGUUAAAAAGCCCCGUUUUGAUGAUUAUCUCGAAAACCAGUACCGAUUGGACCCCGCUUUAUUAAUAUAAAGCUAUUAAAUACGUAUUUUCAUGUCAUAAACGAUCCAAAGGGGUACCAAUUAUUUGUAAAUAUAAAUAGACCUUUCUAGAGCUUAUUUUCACCCGUAAAAUCAUUUCACCAGUUUCUUUGCACGAAUACCGAGAGAAACCGAGCGGUGUUCUUCGUGUUCUUCAUAAUCAAACGAGGAUUUGAAGGUGUUAUUGGAAUCCGAUGGAGGCGUAUGAAUAGUCAAAACGAAGCUAUCGACGCGUAGAAUCUAGUUUAAUCAUCCGUUUGUGUGCAGAUUCAACAGGUGAUUUUAGAUUAUUUUUAUAAAAUUCGAAUUAUUUGAUUUUUAAUUGAUAAAUUUUUGUAACUGAUCUUGUUUGAUUGAUUUGAUGAUGCCAUGUUGUAGAGCGUGUUUUUCUCGUCGUUUUGGUAUAUUAUAUGUUGAAUUUGGAGUUCGGAAUCAUAUAGAAACGUUAGGUUGAUUCUGAGAUUGUAUGUGCUUGAAUGUUCUUCGUUUGUUCUUGAAGCUUUUAAUUGAAAAUUCGAUUUCUGAGUUCGGUUAAGUCUAGGUGAGUUUUGAUGAUUGGAACAUGUUCGGUGGGUUGUGUAGAAUCGAUUGGUGUGAUCGGUUUUGAUGGAGGAGGUUUGUAGCAGCCUCGCCGGAGUUGAAGAACUUGGCGGCGGCGUGAUUUUUGUUUCGAAAAUACGGCCAAAUGGUCGUGCUUUUGAGCAAAUUGAUCUGUUCAUCAGCUUCCUGGUGGCUUAAGCUUGAGUUCUGGGUGAUUUGGGUAAAGAACGGAGGUGGAAGACGCCGUUUCCGGCGAAGUCGGGGGGAAGGCGGUGCAAAAGUGCCGUUUAGUACCCCCAACUUUUGGAAACGGUGAAGUCUUCGUACCCGAGUUUCAUAUUAAACGUUUUCGACCCUGAAACUUUUGAAUUUGACACAUUGCACCCCGAGUGCAAACUUUUAGAUUUUUACAGUUUAAACCUUUUACAAAAUAUUUUCAAAAAUGUUUUUAUUUAAUUAUUUUAAAUUUCAAAAAUAGUUUUUAAUUAUUUCUUUAUUCAAAAAUAAAUCUAAAUUAGUUUGUUAAUUAAUUUUAAUUAGUAAUUAAUUAUUUUAAUUAGUCAAUUAAUUUAAAUAUUAAUUGAUUAAUUAUUUUAAUUAAUUAUUAAUUGAUUUUAAUUGAUUAAUUAAUUGGAUUUAAUUAAUCCUUUUUGAUUUAAAAAUUCCGAAAAAUAGUUUCGAGCUUUAAAAUAUUUUUCCAAAUUAUUUUCAAGGCUCGAUAAUUGUUUAUGAAUGAUUUCAAGUCCAAUUUCAAGUAUUUGGGACUUGAUUAUUUAUUCGAAAAGUGAUUCUUUUAUCGAUUUUAAUUCCGAAAAAUGUGUGAAAAUUCUGGAAAAUUCCCGAAAAAUCAUUUUUAACCCAAGACUUGAUUUAAUAUCAAUUGGGAUGAGAAACCUUGUGUGUUGUGUGUUGUCUGCCAUUGGUUGGACGUGUUAUGUGCCGAUAGGAGAGUGAGAAAACUGUUUUGGUCAUAACUUUUGAUCCGUAAGUCGGAAUCAAGUGAAACGAAAGAGAGAGGAAAGCUUAUAAAGCCUAGUUUAAUAUAAUGAGAUAGUAUGAUCGAGUUUAGAAUGUGGUUAUAUGUUAUGUAAUAUGCAAUAUGUGUCAAUAUGUGACUUAUUUGCUAUAAAUUGAUGAUUACGUGAUAUACGUGCUUAUUCAUGAUAAAUGAUUUAUAUGACUGAUAUUGGAUAAGAACAUAUGGAUUAUAAGAAUUGGAAUUGAUUGAUGGGUUGUUGAACAAAAUAGGAUAACAGGUGGAUAGUCUUAUACAUAGACGAGACGCUGUCAAGUUAUCGAUUGGAUUUAUAUGAUAAUUGAUUUGUGAUAUGUUAUGUGAAAGAUGACUUGACUAUAUGAUAGAGUCAAAGCAUGAUUAUGUGUUAAGUGAUAUCUGAUAGUCGGAUUUUCGAUAAGGAUUUAUAUGAUAAUUGAUUUGUAACAUGUUAUGUGGAAUAUGACUUGACUAUAUGAUAGAGUCAAAGCAUGAUUAUGUGUUAAGUGAUAUCUGAUAGGUUUAAAGGGUUAUAUAAGUGGGUAUCGAUGUACGUGAGAUGUAUAUGCGAUCGAUUGUUUAGUGAUUAUAGUGUUAUCUUAUUCUCGUAAAGGAUUUGGACGAGACGUGUAUGCCCGAAGACGUUCAGAAAGUCACGUGGUGUUACAAAGCGAAUAAGGGAUGAAUCGAGUAAGCGAAGCGAAGUGGCGAAUAGAGUAUAGCUAGAGAUGGUCUAGAGAUUACGAGAUGCAUUGAUUGUGAAAGUUGAAAGAUGAGAUAGAGAUGUGAGACUGGAGUCAGAUUUAAGGCAAGUAUCCUGCACCCUGCUUUUGGAUAUAUUGCAAAUAUUCUGAUUCAUUCUUUUGAUGUGUUGCAAGUAUCCUAAACCUUUCUUUUGGAUAUCUUGCAAUUAUUCUGAUCCAUUCUUUUCGUAUGUGUUGCAAAUAUUCGUUCCUCUCUUUUUCAUAUUUGAAAGUGUAAAUAUUUUAUCCAUCCUUUUCUAAUCUUCAAAAAAAAAAAAAUUCAGAUAAUUCCAGUUUACAAAUUAAUUCGAAGUUCAGAUUGUCAUUGAAGCAUGUGUUGCUCAGUGAUGGUUAGGACCUAGAAUGACUUGGGAUCUUCUUGAUUAUUCAACCCGCCAUUGUCAUGCUGGUUUAGCAGGCUAAAUUCAGUUGCUUAGCCGAUAAUGGAGGAUACUGAAUAGUUAAGGAUUUCCUGAACUAUGAUUUAUGAAAGGAUGGAUCGUGGCUUAUGAAAAGAUGAAUUGAAAAUUAUUCUGUUGUUGAUGAUAUUUAUGAUGAUGUUCUGUUAAUUUACAUUGGCUUCUUGAAUUGAAUUAGAGAAUUGGAUUAUUGUUUUUAUAUAAACCUGUGGACCAGAUUCGUGGUCAUGUUAGGCCAAUGAGUGCCUUGGAUCCAGUGAUAGAGCAUGGCGGGGCCUGCUCGGGGUUAGUGCGGAACUGAUCAGCUGCCUAACCUUGGUUUUAAUUAAAAUGUGAUAGUCCAAUUCAAUAAUUCUUUGGAAAGAUUGAAUUUCUCAGUUUAAAUGCUGCAAGGUAUUGUAAAUCAUUCUAUACAAUACCAUGAACUCAUGAACUCAGGUUGAAUCCUCUUAUAUCUUGAACUCGUGAACUUCUGUUAUAUCAUUUCAGAACUAUCAUUGUUUAUUAUUACUUGCUGAGCAUUGUUGCUCACCCUUGCUAUUCCUUUCUAACCAUUUCAGAAAGGCUUAAAGAUGAGAUGAUUGAUUGAGAUUGUGAAUAAGGCUAAUGCUAGGCGAGGAGACAGAGUUGAGAAUCCAGUGGUCGAGGAGUGUUCAGGAAAGUUGAUGAGGUUGGUGCAAGCUAGAGUUGAGCUAUGGAAAUUCAGAUGUAAGUCAUAGCUGGAAUAGAUUGACAGUGAUUCUUCUUAUCGAAGAUGAUCUGAUUUGGUAAGAGAUGUUGUGUAAUAAUAGUGGUUGAUUCUAAUUUCAAUACUGUAACCUGGAAGCGAUCCUGUUGGUUUGGGGGUGAAGAUGUUCUCUUUUAAAUCUUUUAUUUAACGUCUUUCAAAUCUUUUAUUAAAUGUUUUCAAGUUUUAAAUUAUUUGGAUUCAUUAUCU
rnacentral:lncRNA from 1 species